AAUUGGAAGUAUGACCUGCCCCUGAUAAUUUGAAUGGCCGCGGUAUUUUGACCGUGCAAAGGUAGCAUAAUCAUUAGUCUAUUAAUUGUAGGCUGGAAUGAAUGGUUGGACGAGGCUCAAACUGUCUUGAUUUUGUUGAAUUAUAAUUUAAUUUUUAGAUAAAAAGGUCUAGAUGUUUUCAUGGGACGAGAAGACCCUAUAGAGUUUAAUAUAAUAGUGGGGUUAUUUAAGUAGGAUAAUUUUUGUUKGGUAAAUAUUAAUUGUUUUUUGUUGGGGUGAUAGCGAGGAUAUAAAUAACUCUUGUUUUUUGUUCACUUUAAUGAUUAUGAAUUUUAAAGAUCCAUUAUUAGUGAUUAUAAAACUAAAUUACCUUAGGGAUAACACCGUAUUCUUUUCGGAAAGUUCAAAUCGAUGAARGGGAUU
rnacentral:rRNA from 1 species